rnacentral:rRNA from 1 species
CGUAUGCACUGCCCAGUACAGGGGAUAGCCCGGAGAAAUUCGGACUUAAUACCCCAUAAUGAUAAGAGAUGGCAUCAUUUUUAUUUAAAGUUACGGCGGUACUGGAUGGGCAUGCGUGACAUUAGCUAGUUGGUAGGGUAACGGCCUACCAAGGCAUCGAUGUCUAGGGGUCCUGAGAGGGUGAUCCCCCACACUGGUACUGAGACACGGACCAGACUCCUACGGGAGGCAGCAGUGAGGAAUAUUGGUCAAUGGGCGCAAGCCUGAACCAGCCAUCCCGCGUGAAGGAAGAAUGCGCUAUGCGUUGUAAACUUCUUUUCCAGCGGAAUAAAAUUUCGUACGUGUACGGGACUGAAGGUACCUUGGGAAUAAGC